GACGAACGCUGGCGGCGUGCUUAACACAUGCAAGUCGAACGGAAAGGCCCUGCUUGCGGGGUACUCUAGUGGCGAACGGGUGAGUAACACGUGGGUGAUCUGCCCUGCACUUCGGGUUAAGCCUGGGAAACUGGGUCUAAUACCGGGUAGGUGCCACUUUUAUUGUGUGGGUUGGAGAGUUUUUUCGGUGUAGGAUGAGCUCGCGGCCUAUCAGCUUGUUGGUGGGGUAAUGGCCUACCAAGGCGGCGACGGGUAGCCGGCCCGAGAGGGUGGACGGCCACACUGGGCAUGGGAGCCGGCCCAGACCCCUACGUGAGGCAGGAGUGGGGAAUAUUGCACCAUGGGCGGAAGCCUGAUGCAGCGACGCCGCGUGGGGGAUGACGGCCUUCGGGUUGCAAACUCCGUUCGCCAGGGACGAAGCCCUUUGUGACGGUACCUAGAUAAGAAGCACCGGCUAACUACGUG
rnacentral:rRNA from 1 species